rnacentral:rRNA from 1 species
AGAGUUUGAUCCUGGCUCAGAUUGAACGCUGGCGGCAUGCCUUACACAUGCAAGUCGAACGGCAGCACGAGAGCUUGCUCUUGGUGGCGAGUGGCGAACGGGUGAGUAAUAUAUCGGAACGUACCCUAGAGUGGGGGAUAACGUAGCGAAAGUUACGCUAAUACCGCAUACGGUCUACGGAUGAAAGUGGGGGAUCGCAAGACCUCAUGCUCAUGGAGCGGCCGAUAUCUGAUUAGCUAGUUGGUGGGGUAAAAGCUCACCAAGGCGACGAUCAGUAGCUGGUCUGAGAGGACGACCAGCCACACUGGAACUGAGACACGGUCCAGACUCCUACGGGAGGCAGCAGUGGGGAAUUUUGGACAAUGGGCGCAAGCCUGAUCCAGCAAUGCCGCGUGAGUGAAGAAGGCCUUCGGGUUGUAAAGCUCUUUUGUCAGGGAAGAAACGGUGGACUCUAAUACAGAUCACUAAUGACGGUACCUGAAGAAUAAGCACCGGCUAACUACGUGCCAGCAGCCGCGGUAAUACGUAGGGUGCAAGCGUUAAUCGGAAUUACUGGGCGUAAAGCGUGCGCAGGCGGUUGUGCAAGACAGAUGUGAAAUCCCCGGGCUCAACCUGGGAAUUGCAUUUGUGACUGCACGGCUAGAGUGUGUCAGAGGGGGGUAGAAUUCCACGUGUAGCAGUGAAAUGCGUAGAGAUGUGGAGGAAUACCGAUGGCGAAGGCAGCCCCCUGGGAUAACACUGACGCUCAUGCACGAAAGCGUGGGGAGCAAACAGGAUUAGAUACCCUGGUAGUCCACGCCCUAAACGAUGUCUACUAGUUGUCGGGUCUUAAUUGACUUGGUAACGCAGCUAACGCGUGAAGUAGACCGCCUGGGGAGUACGGUCGCAAGAUUAAAACUCAAAGGAAUUGACGGGGACCCGCACAAGCGGUGGAUGAUGUGGAUUAAUUCGAUGCAACGCGAAAAACCUUACCUACCCUUGACAUGUCUGGAAUCCUUGAGAGAUCAGGGAGUGCUCGAAAGAGAAUCAGAACACAGGUGCUGCAUGGCUGUCGUCAGCUCGUGUCGUGAGAUGUUGGGUUAAGUCCCGCAACGAGCGCAACCCUUGUCAUUAGUUGCUACGAAAGGGCACUCUAAUGAGACUGCCGGUGACAAACCGGAGGAAGGUGGGGAUGACGUCAAGUCCUCAUGGCCCUUAUGGGUAGGGCUUCACACGUCAUACAAUGGUACAUACAGAGGGCCGCCAACCCGCGAGGGGGAGCUAAUCCCAGAAAGUGUAUCGUAGUCCGGAUUGUAGUCUGCAACUCGACUACAUGAAGUUGGAAUCGCUAGUAAUCGCGGAUCAGCAUGUCGCGGUGAAUACGUUCCCGGGUCUUGUACACACCGCCCGUCACACCAUGGGAGCGGGUUUCACCAGAAGUGGGUAGCCUAACCGCAAGGAGGGCGCUCACCACGGUGGGAUUCGUGACUGGGGUGAAGUCGUAACAAGGUA